rnacentral:rRNA from 1 species
UACGAAGGUCCCAAGCGUUAUCCGGAUUUAUUGGGUUUAAAGGGUGCGUAGGCGGGCCGUAAAGUCAGGGGUGAAAUCCUCCAGCUUAACUGGAGAACUGCCUUUGAUACUGACGGUCUCGAGUGAGGUAGGGGCGUGUGGAACUGAUGGUGGAGCGGUGAAAUGUGUUGAUAUCAUCAGGAACUCCGGUGGCGAAAGCGACACGCUGGACCUCUACUGACGCUGAGGCGCGAAAGCCAGGGGAGCAAACGGG